UGCUCAAGAACUAAGUGAAAAAAAGAACUAAAACAAGGCAUAUAGCUGAGAAAUUGAAAGAAAAGAAGCUAAGAUCUCCCAAGCGACCUGAGAAUCAAUAGAAUUUAACGCCGAAAUGAGCAAAGAUACAAUCAGACUAAAAAAAUAACCGCUUUGCCAAGGACUGUUUCCUUGGAAUUUAUUUUGUUUAAUAAUUAUUUUUUUAAUAUACAUCACAAAUACAGUAAUAAAGUUGCACAGUCCCAUAUCACUUCAAGAGCAAUUGACAAAAAAAAAAAAAAAAA
rnacentral:misc_RNA from 1 species